rnacentral:rRNA from 1 species
AACGUAGGAGACAAACGUUAUCCGGAGUUACUGGGCGUAAAGGGUGUGCAGGCGGGGUAUCAAGUGGUGUAUGAAAGGGCGCGGCUCAACUGCGCUAGGUUAUGCCAGACUGAUGCUCUGGAGGACCAAACAGGGCUGUGGAAUUCCGGGUGUAGUGGUGAAAUGCGUAGAUAUCGUAAGGAAGACCAGUGGCGAAGGCGGGUCUCUGGACAGUUCCUGACGCUGAGGCACGAAGGUCAGGGGGAGCAAACGGG